GAUGAAGAACGUAGCGAAAUGCGAUAAGUAGUGUGAAUUGCAGAAUUCAGUGAAUCAUCGAAUCUUUGAACGCACAUUGCGCCUUCUAGUAUUCUGGGAGGCAUGCCUGUUUGAGCGUCAUUAAACCUCUCUCAAGUAUGAUUACUUGGAUGUGAAGGAAGAGUACCUUAAACUUAAGGAGUGUUCUCCUUUGAAAUUGAUUAGCAGAUGGUAAUGUUAUUAAAUCCCUGAUGUUGUAAGAAAUAACAGUGGUUUUGUAGACUAUUAUCUAGCUUUAAAUUAUAAUUUUUAUUAUGGUUGACCUCAAAUCAGGUAAGGCUACCCGCUGAACUUAAGCAUAUCAAUCAGCGGAGGA
rnacentral:misc_RNA from 1 species